CUCAGGAGCAGCGCGGGCUCAGAGGGCGCAGCUGCCCUCUCCAGAGCGCCGGCACCUCAUCACCUUCAGGGAUGGCGAGGAGUGUGUGUAGCCCACCACAGAACCAGCCCAUCAUCAUCAUCUCCUGUCACCCUACAUACCCAGCACUGGAAAUCCUUUAAAACUGAAAUAAAAUGUACCUGGAGCCAUUUCUGCUGGUCGUGUUUAAAUCUGUCAGCGCUGGGCAGGGGGAGCCGCGAGCUCGCCAGCCCAGCCCCGCAUGUCGCUGCUGUGUCCCUGCGGCUCCUGCGUGUCCUGCGCAGCUCGGGUGCCGAGAGCGCUGCUAAACCCGCAGGAUCUGUGCGCAGGCAGCACGGAGGGCCCGGUGAUGCGGCCCGAGGGCUCCCCGAGGCUGGCUUUGUCCGCGCUGUCUGGGCAGUAAACGAGGCACAAGCGGCGCAUGACGAGCGCCGGGCCGGGCACAGCCGCGGUUGCACGAGCGGCUCCGCAACCUCAGCCGGGCCAUUUUCUGCCUCUCCAAUUCCUGCAUUUCCAACCCACGGCAUCCC